rnacentral:snoRNA from 1 species
AAAUUUAAAUGAUUAAAAGUGGGCGGAAUGAUAUUUGAUUAAAUUUACUAAUUGAUUAUGAAU